CGGGGCGUAGCGCAGCCUGGUAGCGCGUCGGUUUUGGGAACCGAAGGCCGCGAGUUCGAAUCUCGCCGCCCCGACCA
rnacentral:tRNA from 1 species